UUGUGUCAGGCAGAUCAGGAAAACUGCAGCACAAUUCCAGUUCAUUCCAGGGAGAGCCCUGGUUCCUGGGAAUGCCAUUCCAGAUACCUGGCAUCUUUAGCCUGCAGAACCAGGUCUGGAAGAGGAUGUUUACCAGCUGUCUGUAAAAUAAUGACUGUUUUCUGGGGCUUCAGUCACAUGGUCACUGUAGAAAUGGCUUUGUGGCACUUGAAGAUGUCCAUCUCCAGCCAUAAGCUGAAAAUUGCCUUCUUCCUGCUACAGCUGAGAUGUCAGAAUAAAUCAUCUGGGCUCUCAUCAUGGGUUUUAGUGCAAAGACAGCAGAGAAGGAAGAAAUAAGGGAAAAAAUAAACAACUCCAAACAUACAGAUCUACCUGAAAUGGUGACCCUCCUGUGCACAAGAACCAUUCCCUCGUGGCUGGACCACAGAAGGACAUGAGAGGUUUGGGACACAGCUGGGGUGACCUGGGAAGCCACAGGGUGCAUCAUGCUUCCUGUGCUGAUCUGUUCUCCUCCACCUGCCCGUCUUCCUUCUUGUUUGACCCACCUAGAAUUAACAUUAUAAGCACGUAACAAACAUGUCAAUUGGUUCUCUGUGUAAGCUCAAAGGGUAACUUUUAGUGAAACCUCUUUUUGUAUAUUAUGUAUGGAAAUAGAAAAUUUGCACUAAAAAUGGUAAUUGUCUGCACCUUGGACAGUCACAGAACAGAGCUCAGACAUGAAAGGAGGAGCUCCAGAGGAAUCUGUGUUAGCAGAUGUGACACACUGGGUCAUAAAUCUGCACCAAAAGAAGGCUGAGGCUCCAAAUUCAGCAUUAGGUAAUAAAAUCAGAGCUAUCAUUACA
rnacentral:lncRNA from 1 species